CUCCUGCAGGUCAAGUCAUACCCAAGGAACAUACUAUCCAUGUGAUUGCUGGAAGCCCAAUUCAAAAGGAUGAACCUAUAAUUGAAUGAGGAUUUCACAUUGACCUUGAACCACUGGCAAUAUAAAGGAGGGUCUGAGUAGUUUUACAGGAUCACAAAGAUGAAGGAAAGUGGGUGCUUUUCUGCCCUGUGAAUUUUGAUGUGGACAUUGCCCAUCGCCCUCAUGUCACAUGAAGAAGUAAAAUGGCAUGCAAGACUACCGCUGGAUAGAAUCUGGAUGAUAUACACAUUUGCAGACAUGGAGAGUCCCUAUAACAUAAUUGGACAUCAAACAAUUAUGAUGUGUGAUAUGAGAAGGAAGCAGAGUCCCUCCCAUCCCCUGACACAUACUUGUUACCUGCAGACAUAUCCACAGGGACAGCUUCACUCUGCCCUUCCGGCUGGGGAGACAUCUCAUUUGGAGGUGACUUCAUCCUGGGAAAUGCUGUACUGCAUGAUAGGGGCCAUUUUCUGGGAUAGCAGGGCUGCUUUCAGAUAGCAAAGAGCUCUCUGUUGGUGCCCUCUGCACCUUGGGCAGAAAUCGAGGUGGUAUUCUUAGGGAAACUCUUUGGAAUAUAUAAAACACAACUUACUUUUUAAACCAAAGACAGGUAGUUGUAUCAUUAUCUGACUGGAAAACAGAUGGUACAUUCAAAUGGCGUAUUUGAAAAGAAUUUGGGAAAGAGACUAUUGACAAAGAAAUGGGCAGUGUUUACAGAAGUUCUUGGGAUCCAGCAGACAGCGUCUGGCCCUGAAAAUACAGAGGACGGAGCAGUUUCUAGAACAGAGAGACACAGAGAGAAGAAUGGAGAAGGUGCCUAGCGGGGAGCUGAGAUUCUCAUUCAAGAGUCUCCGCCAGCCUCCAGGAGCGCCAGGAGGGAGCCAGUGGGAUAAAUUCCCCAGCCUCUCUCCUUCCCCUGUUUCCUGCAAGUGUGCUCUGUUGGCCAAACUCAACGGGAAAGGCAAGAACCAUAAAUACGGGGCAACCUCCCCAGGCACAGAGCAGAGUGGGUGAGUGGGAGGCCCAGCAGAAGGCAUCCAGCAAGAUGGGGUCUUCAGGUUCUCCCAACCCUGGA
ensembl:lincRNA